GCCCCUGUGGCGGAACGGUAGACGCGGCGGACUCAAAAUCCGUUGCUCGCAAGAGCGUGGGAGUUCGAGUCUCCCCGGGGGCA
rnacentral:tRNA from 1 species